AUGGAACAGUCGACUCUACAUCAGCAAGUCAUUACACGGAUUGGUGAAGCGCUGUGUACACAUGACCUAACACACGAUGAAUGACAUAAGCUGCUGUUUUAUUGAGGAAGUAGCCAGUUCAAAGAGAAUGAAAAGGAAGUCUUUGGAGCACUGAAAUAGUUUGCUUUUGCUUUUUGUGGUGAACAGUGUAUGAGGAAACUACCUCUAAGGACAGUACAUAAUUUUAUCAAUGUAUGCCAACCAUUGUUGAAACUCACAGUACACAAACAAAUCUAUUUCAAGAGGAAAGUUUGAUCUGGAAAGUGUAUUUUAUGUACAUGUGCCAGUAUGCUGGGAGGUUUUUCUCCAAAUUUUAUCAGACAACAAAACUCAUUAACAUUUCAUUUUGCUCUUAAGUUAGUUGAAAAUGACAAUGAGACUGUUUGUGCACUGUUUGAAGGUGUCCGAAGAAAAAGAAAGAAAAUUCACUGAUAGAAAGAUUAUGCCACAUCUUAUGGUGACAGAUUCUGCAUACAAUAGAUACAAUAGAGAAAAUGUCCAGGAUGAUCAAAAAAGUUUUCGUAAACACUGCAGAAUGCAAAAUAGUCAACAUACAAGGCUAGGAAGAUGUCAGCAUAAGAAAGUUGUAGGAUUGUAGGAAAGAUAAGCAAGUAACAGAGAUUUGGAAAAACUAUUCUAUCACCUUAAAAUUAAACAGGUGAAAGGAAAAGAGUUAUUUCACUUUCAAGAACAGUUGCAAUUCCAAUACUUUAUGAUGCUGCAGGAAAGGAGAGCAUAAUAUAAUCAUGGCCUUGUCCUUCUGCCCAUCUGGAGAAUAACUUGAAAAGUAUUGAAGGAAUUAAUGUGAUUUAAACUUCACAUAAUGAAAGAGACCAAAGUGAGAGGAAGUACAGUGUCUAAGAAGCAUAACUGUACCUUGCUUCAGUUCUAACCUUUUAAUACUAUCUCGUUGAAACUUCACACAGUUGGAGAGACUAUAAACUGGAAGACUUAGUGUUGUGUCAAUUAACCAAGACACUGAUUUAUUUCCAUUUAUAACAUACAUAACGCUUGUUUGGAUUAUAACCUCUUAACUAUCAACACUAUCUCAUUGAAUCUUCACACAGUAGUAGAGACUAGAAAGAGGAAGUGCUAGUGUCAAAGAACAAUUACUUUCAUUGUGCUUAGUUUUUAGACCACCUGUCGCAAAGUGACAUGGUGAGCUUUUGUGAUAGCUUUUCAUCCGGUGUCCGUCUGGUGUACAUUCGUUAACUUUUACUUUAAACGACAUCUCCUCAUAUACCACUAAGCCAAUUUCAUCGAAACUUCACAGGAAUGUUCCUUUGGUAGUCAACUUUAAAAAUUGUUCAAAGAAUUUCAUUCCAAGCAGAACUCUGGUUGCCAUGGCAACUGAAAGAAAAAACCUAAAAUACAUAUCCUCUUUUAGAAAACCGAAAGAGCUAGAGCUUAAAUAUUUGGCAUGAAACAUCAUCUAGUCAGUGUCUACCAAGUUUGGUCAAAUAAAUAACCUGGGGUCAAAAUUGGCCCCGCCCCAGGGGGUCAUUGAUUUUCCUUAUUUGUAUAGAGCAAAAACUUAAAAAAUCUUCUUUUAAAAAAAACCAAAUAGCUAGAGCUUAGAUAUUAAGCAUGAAACAUCUUCUAGUUGGUGUUUACCAAGUUUGUUCAAAUAAAAACCCUGGGGUAAAAAUUGGCCCCGUUUCAGGGUGUAAUUGUUUUUCCCUUUAUGUAUAUAGUAAAAACUUAAACAAUCUUCUUUUAAAAACCCCAAAGAGCUUGAGCUAAGAAAUUUAGCAUGAAACAUCUUCUAAUGGGUGUCUACCAAGUUUGUUCAAAUAAGGGCCCUUGGGUUAAAAUUGGCCCUGUUCCGGGGGUCAUUGAUUCUCCUUCAUAUGUGUAUAUAGUAAAAAUAGAGUUAUGGCCCUUUAAUGAAUUUUAUUUAUUAAAGAUUGUCCAGACCUAUUGAACACCUCUUGUUCUAUUUACGCAAAAUAAAUGAAACUACAGACAGGAUUAAUUGAUUACUCAAUAAUUUCUGCAUAUAACAUGGGUUUCCGGUUAAAUGAUUUUUGGCUAAGUUAUGGCCCUUAAAUAAAAAGGUGUUAAUAAAGUUUGUCCGCACUACUGUUUUAUACCACUUAUGCAAUUUCCAUGAAACUGUACAGGAAUGAUUUGUAGUUCCCAAGUACUUGCGCAUAUAACACAGAAUUUCUGCUUAAUGAUUUUUUUCAGAGCUAUUGCCCUUGAAUAAAAAAGAUGUUUUUAUGGCCCCUCCAUAAAAUGGCUGAGACAUGUAGUGUUACCCUUUUCUGUCAUCAUCAGUUUCUGAUUAGAUGCACACAUUCAAAAAAAUGUAUGAAUUGUAUUUAUUUUGAGUAAUUAUUUUUGAUGUUUAAUAACAUUUAUAUUGGCAGUGAAAGAAAUGUCAAAAGUUUGAACAAAUUGCAAUUCAUACUUAAAACACUUAACUUCUAAUGAUCCCCUUUAGCGGACAAAAUAUCUGGAAUUAUUAUGCUCCCCGAAAAAUUUUGGGGGAGCAUAUAGUCGCCGCCUUGUCCGUCUGUCCGUCUUUUGUCUUGUCCGGAGCAUAACUUGAAAACCCUUGGAGAUAAUUUGUUUAAACUUCAUACAGUGGUAGAGGGCAUUGAGUGGGAGUGCAGUGUUAAAGAACCAUAACUCUAUUUUGCCCGGUUUUUAUUUGUUUGGGUCGUCAGACCAAACAAAUAAUGGUAGCGAAAUUUCAGAGUCGAAUGCUGUUAAUUGCAAAUGCCUAAAGUAGUCCACUUUUUUGAAGCGGUUACUUCCCUUUAUAUGUACACUAACGCCGAAAAAUUCAGGGGAGAUCAAUGCGUAAAGAAUGUCAAAUGACCGGCGCAUUAAUUUUCAAGCAAAGUAGUUCCCGAAUGGUCGAAGAUUUCUAAUAUUGUUUCAUUCUUUAUAGAUAUACAUGCUUACAGUAAGCUCCAUGAUUAUUUACAUCUGUUUUAGCGUCGAGUUACAAACCCUAAUUUAGAAUAAUAUGGUUUUCUUCAGGCCGAUAACAUAUAUAUCCACCGUGGCCGAGGGGUUUGCACGCUCGCUUAUGAAUCGAAAGGGCUGGAGUUCAAAUCCCAGUUGAGGCAACUCAUUUUUUUUAAGUCAAAUAAACAUUGAAUUGACUAUCAGUGUUGCAAUUAGUCUUAUAGCCAAUUUACUACAGUUAAAACACUGGAAAGCAUUGGUGGCACUUUACAAAAACAAAUUGGUUUAUAAUCUCACAACCUUCACCUUUCUGACAUUCUGAGACCCAAACAAAUUCAGCGCCAUCUGUGCUUUGAUUGAAUAAUCUCCCCUUAUAGAAAAAUCUUGUCCAGGAUAUAACUCUAAAACUAUAAGAGAUAUCAACAUGAAAUUUUGUAUGUAAAUAGAUCUCAAAGGGUAGAUGUGCAGUACACAAAAACCAUAACUCUUUUUUGCCUAAUUUUGGAGUUAUUGCCCUUUGUUAAUUUUAACACUUUGAACUUUGUCCGGAACAUAACUCUAAAACUAUAAGAGAUAUCAAGAUGAAACAUUGUAGGUAGAUAGAUCUCAUUGAGUAGAAGUGCAGUGCAAAAGAGCCAUAACUCUGUUAAUUAUCUCCCCUUUUAGAAAAAUCUUGUCCAGGACAUAGCUAUAAAACUAUAAGAGAUAUCAACAUGAAACUUUGUAGGUAGAUAUAUCUCAAUGGGUAGAUGUGCAGUGCACAAGAAUCAUACCUCUGCCUUGCCUAAUUCUCGAGUUAAUGCCCUUUGUUAAUUUUUUCUUUUUGAACUUUGUCUCGGAAAUUACUCUAAAAUUAUAAGAUAUAUCAACAUGAAACUUUGUUGGUAAAUAGAUCUCAUUGAGUUAAAGUGCAGUACAAAAAAAACCAUAACUCUGUUUUGCCCAAUUUUUGAAUUAUCUCCCCUUUUAAAAAAAUCUUGUCCAGGAAAUAAUUCUAAAACUACAAGAGAUAUCAACAUGAAACUUUGUAGGUAGAUGGGUCUCAAUGGGUAGAUGUGCAGUGCACAAGAACUUGAACUCCGCCCUGCCAAAUUUUAUAGUUAUUGCCCUUUGUUCAUUUUUACAUUUUGAACAUUGUCCGGGACAUAACUCGGAAACCAUAAGAGAUAUCAACAAGAAACUUUGUAGGUUGAUAGAUCGCAUUAAUUAAAAGUGCAGUGCAUAAAAACAAUAACUCUGCCUUGCCUUAUUUUGGAAUUAUUGCACUUUGAACUUUUUCCAGGGACAUAACUCUGAAACUACAAGAGCUGUACUUUCCUGUGUCCAAAACCUAUUUGGGGAGCAUCACCCGGCUCAAACCGGGCUCUUGUUUUUAAUAUAUGUAAUUAUUUUUGAUGUUUGAAAAUAUUUAUAUUGGCAAAUUGUGAAGAAAUGUUCUUCAUCAUAACGUCUGAACAAAUUUGAAUUCAUAUUAAACACUGUUUUACUCUAAUCUAAUGAUGCCUAUUAGAGACAUUUGUUCAUAUGUAUGACAGAAUAUCUUAAAUUGUAUUUAUUUUAUGUAAUUACUGUUGAUUAAACCUCUUAUUUUUCUCUCCAAUUUCGGGGACAUUUGUUCAAUCAUCUGCGAGUUUGUUUUGUUCAGGCGUAUGAACAAAUUUAUUUCAAAAUAAGCACAAAGUAAUUGAAAUACAUAUGAACAAAAACCUGACCAGUUGAAAAGUGUUUUUUUUAUUUUUGUUCAUACGUAUGAACAAAAUCGAAGCGGCUUAUUUAUAUGAUAUUUUUCACCCUGUGAAUUUGUUUUGUUCAUACGUAUGAACAAAAUCGAAGCAGCUUAUUUAUGUGCUAUUUUCACUCUGUGAAUUUGUUUUGUUCAUACGUAUGAACAAAAUCGAAGCAGCUCAUUUAUAUGCAUUUUUUCACUCUGUGAAUUUGUUUGUUCAUACGUUUGAACAAAUCCAAGCGGCUCAUUUAUAUGCAUUUUUUCACUCUGUGAAUUUGUUUUGUUCAUACGUUUGAACAAAAUCGAAGCGGCUCAUUUAUAUGCAUUUUUUUCACUCUGUGAAUUUGUUUUGUUCAUACGUAUGAACAUAUCCAAGCGGCUCAUUUAUAUGCUAGUUUUCACUCUGUGAAUUUGUUUUGUUCAUACGUAUGAGCAAAAUAGAAGUGUCUAAUUUUUGUGUUUUUUUUCACUCUGUGAGUUUGUUUUGUUCAUACGUAUGAACAAAAUCAAAGUGGCUCAUUUAUAUGCUAUUUUUCACUCUGUGAGUUUGUUUUGUUCAUACGUAUGAACAAAAUCGAAGCAGCUUUUUUAUGUGCUAUUUUCACUCUGUGAGUUUGUUUUGUUCAUACGUAUGAACAAAAUUUGUUUCAAAAUAACCACAAAAUUACUGAAAUAAUGCAGUGUUCAUACGUAUGAACAAAAUUGAAAUGCUAAUUAAUGUGCUAUUUUCGCUUUGUGAGUUAGUUUUGUUCAGACGUAUGAACAAAAUUUGUUUCAAAAUAACCACAAAAUUAUUCCAGUGUUCAUACGUAUGAACAAAAACCUGCCAAUUUAAAAAGAAAAAUAGUUUUGUUCAUACGUAUGAACAAAAUCGAAGUGGGUAUUUUUGCUCUGUGUCAGUUUUUGUUCAGACGUAUGAACAAAUUUGUUUUAAAAUAACCACAAAAUUAUUCCAGUGUUCAUACGUAUGAACAAAAACCUGCCAAUUUAAAAAGAAAAAUAGUUUUGUUCAUACGUAUGAACAAAAUCGAAGUGGGUAUUUUUGCUCUGUGUCAGUUUUUGUUCAGACGUAUGAACAAAUUUGUUUCAAAAUGACCAUGCAGUGUUCAUACGUAUGAACAAAAAACUUAAAAGUUGAAAACAAAAUUGAUCAACAUUGAAGCGUCUGUCUAAUUUAUGGUGCUAUUUUUCAGUAUGUGAGGUAAUUUUGUUCAGACGUAUGAACAAAAUUUUGUUAAAAAAUACUCAAUAUUGCUGAACUUAUUCAGUGUUCAUACGUAUGAACAAAAUCUUGACAAGUUGAGAAAAAAAUUUGUUCAUACGUAUGAACAAGUUUGAAACUGCUAAUAUAUUUGUUAUUUUUUACACUAUUCUUAUUUUUUGUUCAGACGUAUGAACAAAAAUUGUUGAAAAAUAAAAAUAUAU